UACGAAGGGGGCUAGCGUUGCUCGGAAUCACUGGGCGUAAAGGGUGCGUAGGCGGGUCUCUAAGUCGGACGUGAAAUCCCUCGGCUUAACCGAGGAACUGCGUCCGAUACUGAAAGGCUUGAAUCCGGGAGAGGGAUGUGGAAUUCCAGGUGUAGCGGUGAAAUGCGUAGAUAUCUGGAGGAACACCGGUGGCGAAGGCGGCAUCCUGGACCGGCAUUGACGCUGAGGCGCGAAAGCUAGGGGAGCAAACGGG
rnacentral:rRNA from 1 species